rnacentral:rRNA from 1 species
UGGGGAAUCUUCCGCAAUGGACGAAAGUCUGACGGAGCAACGCCGCGUGAGUGAAGAAGGUUUUCGGAUCGUAAAGCUCUUUCGUUAGGGACGAACGUAUUUCUUGUAAAUAAUGAGAGAUAGUGACGGUACCUGAAUAAGAAGCCACGGCUAACUACGUGCCAGCAGCCGCGGUAAUACGUAGGUGGCAAGCGUUGUCCGGAAUUAUUGGGCGUAAAGCGCGCGCAGGCGGGAUAUCAAGUCUGUCUUAAAAGUGCGAGGCUCAACCUCGUGAGGGGACAGAAACUGGUAUUCUUGAGUGUCGGAGAGGAAAGUGGAAUUCCAAGUGUAGCGGUGAAAUGCGUAGAGAUUUGGAAGAACACCAGUGGCGAAGGCGACUUUCUGGACGAUGUCUGACGCUGAGGCGCGAAAGCUAGGGGAGCGAACGG